rnacentral:tRNA from 1 species
UGGGGUUGUGGCUCAGCGGUAGCGCACUUGCCUAACAUGUAUGAGGCACUGGGUUUGAUUCUCAGCACCACAA